UUUCCGUGUUGAAUCUUGUUAGAGCAAGAAAGUUUGCGGAAUACCCAUUUUGCCUGAACGUCCAUCCACGCAGCAAUGGCGUAAGACGUAUUGUACUUUCAGGCAGUUAGCGGGCUGCGGGUUGCAGCCUGACCGGUAAUAUGGAAUCAACUCUUAAGAAAUAUUCUAAGGUUAUUCCCACGAUAAUUGCGCUGUAUUUCCGUAUGAAAUACAGGCAACCGACACUUUGCGCCUCUCAGCAAACGACAACCGUGAGGUUGGCGACACGCGUUUAGUCACGAGGCCAUCGGUUCACUCCCGGUUAGCGUCACCAUGCCCGCAGCUCUGUCGCCAA
rfam:Beauveria bassiana D1-5 contig00225, whole genome shotgun sequence.